GGGGUCGUAGUUCAGUUGGUUAGAACGCCGGCCUGUCACGCCGGAGGCCGCGGGUUCGAGCCCCGUCGACCCCGCCA
rnacentral:tRNA from 1 species